CUGCCACAGAGGGACUGGCACACAGUUAAGCCCCUGUCCCACUUGCGUGUCCUUGGCACGCUAAUUACGCGACCUCAUCGUCGCGUUGAGGUGCGACAGUUCUGCGAAGGUCGCGUGCGACUUCAUUCGCUCGCACAGCCGUCUGGAACGCGUGACGUCAUUUGAAGAUGGACACAAAAUGCAGGAGUAACUCAGUGGG